rnacentral:rRNA from 1 species
AACGAAGGUGGCAAGCGUUGUUCGGAAUUACUGGGCAUAAAGCGCACGUAGGUGGUCUCGUGUGUCGAUGGUGAAAUCCUGCAGCUCAACUGUAGAAUUGCCGUUGAAACUACGAGGCUAGAGGACAGGAGGGGAGAGUGGAAUUCCUAGUGUAGCGGUGAAAUGCGUAGAUAUUAGGAGGAACGCCGGUGGCGAAAGCGACUCUCUGGACUGUUUCUGACACUGAGGUGCGAAAGCUAGGGGAGCAAACAGG